AAUACGUAGGGCGCGAGCGUUGUCCGGAAUUAUUGGGCGUAAAGAGCUCGUAGGCGGUCUGUCGCGUCGGAUGUGAAAGCCCGGGGCUUAACCCCGGGUCUGCAUUCGAUACGGGCAGACUAGAGUGUGGUAGGGGAGAUCGGAAUUCCUGGUGUAGCGGUGAAAUGCGCAGAUAUCAGGAGGAACACCGGUGGCGAAGGCGGGAUCCUGGGCCAGUACUGACGCUGAGGAGCGAAAGCGUGGGGAGCAAACAG
rnacentral:rRNA from 1 species